rnacentral:rRNA from 1 species
GGGGGGGCGGCGGCCUUACCAUGCAAGUCGAGCGGAAACGAUGAUAGCUUGCUAUCGGGGGUCCAGCGGCGGAGGGGUGACUAAUACUUGUGAAUCUGCCUAGGAAUGGUGGGAUAGCACGGGAUAAACUCUCCAUUAAUACCGCAUACUACCUACGUGGAGAAAGGGGGCAUUUUACUGCUCUCUCUGUUACAUGAGCCUAUUUCGGAUUAGCUAGAUGGUGGGGUAAAGGCCUCCCAUGGCGACCAUCUGUUGCUGGGCUGAGAGGAUAUGACCCACAGGGGGACUGAGACUCGGCCCGGACCCCCCCUGCAGGCAGUUGUGGGGAAUAUUGUACAUUGGGGGAACCCCUGAUCCCGCCCUGCCCCGUGGGUGAAGAAUGCCCUUUGGUUGUGAAUUACUUUAAACACUGAAGAAAACUCCCUGGGUAAUACCCAGUGGACGAUGAUAUUUUCUUUCCAAUAAACACCCCCCAACUCUGUGCCAGCAUCCACGGUAAUACAAAAGGUGGAGGUGUUCUUCGUAAUUACUGGUAGUAAACGGGGCGCACCUGGUGUGGUGAGUCCCAUGUGAUAUUCUCGGGUUUUACCUUGGGGCCGCAUCUCACACUGGGGAGACUUAUUAUGUGAGAGGCAGGAACAAUUCCUCCUGGGGCGCCGCAACGACUAGAGAUCUUCUUGAACGCCGAUUACCAAGGCAGCCUUCUCUCGUGGUAUUCUCCCCCAUGUUCCCACGCGUGGGGUGAUUAUAAGAGCAGAUGGCCUGCUUCUCCAUGCCUUCUCCGAAAUCUACUAAUCGUUGUGGCCCCUCCGGAAGUAAUUCCUCCUCUCACACAACAAAUACACCGCCUGGGGAAUACAGGCGCCCCGUUGAGACCCACCGAUUUUAUUGUGGUUUGUCUCCCCCCCCCCCCGUUUUUUUUUCCAAAUAACAUUAAAAAA